rnacentral:rRNA from 1 species
GACGAACGCUGGCGGCGUGCUUAACACAUGCAAGUCGAACGGAAAGGCCCCUUUGGGGGUACUCGAGUGGCGAACGGGUGGGUAACACGUGAGUAACCUGCCCUUGACUUCGGGAUAACUUCAGGAAACUGGGGCUAAUACCGGAUAGGAAUCCUUGCUGCAUGGUGGGGGUUGGAAAGCUUCGGCGGUUUUGGAUGGACUCGCGGCUUAUCAGCUUGUUGGUGGGGUAGUGGCUUACCAAGGCUUUGACGGGUAGCCGGCCUGAGAGGGCGACCGGCCACAUUGGGACUGAGAUACGGCCCAGACUCCUACGGGAGGCAGCAGUGGGGAAUAUUGCACAAUGGGCGGAAGCCUGAUGCAGCAACGCCGCGGGCGGGAUGACGGCCUUCGGGUUGUAAACCGCUUUCAGCAGGGGCGAAGCUUGUGGUGACGGUACCUGCAGAAGAAGCACCGGCUAACUACGUG